CAGCCGCCGCGGGAACACCGAGGGUGCAAGCGUUAAUCGGAUUUACUGGGCGUAAAGCGUGUGUAGGUGGCUGUUCAAGUCGGUUGUGAAAGCCCUGGGCUCAACCUGGGAAUUGCUUCCGAGACUGAGCGGCUAGAGUACGGUAGAGGGCGGUGGAAUUUCCGGUGUAGCGGUGAAAUGCGUAGGUAUCGGAAGGAACACCAAUGGCGAAGGCAGCCGCCUGGGCCUGUACUGACACUGAGACACGAAAGCGUGGGGAUCAAACAGGAUUAGAUACCCCUGUAGUCCCUGUCUCUUAUAC
rnacentral:rRNA from 1 species